UACAUAAAAACACACACAGAAAUAAAUUAAAGAUCGCUUUGAAUAACUGAAACUGAAGAGGGAGUGUUGAAAGUAGAGAGAGAAAGUCCGAAGACCCAAACCAAACAGAAGCAUAAAAACUGCUUGUGUUUCUGUUGUGUUGUGUUUUGAAGUGUUUUGUGUAAAUUCAAGAAGCAAAUUUGAAGCACACGCAUAAACACAGACACAAAAAACCCAACCAAACAGUCCUGUCCGAUUCGAUCGGGGUCUCUCAUUGUACAUACAUUCGGGAUUCUCUUCUCCGGUUAUUUGUCUGCUUGGUCCGGUUCUCCGUCCGCACAUCUUAUGGAGCGGUACGGUCGGGUCAGUGAAGGUUCACAGUCCGAUCCGUCACCUGAAUGGAGACCCGAAACCGGACUCGAAGAGUCUAUGUGGCAGUUGGGAGUCGCUGUGGGAUCGUACCCGGAGCGGCCUGACGAGGCCGAUUGUAGUCACUACUUGAAGACCGGGUUUUGCGGGUAUGGGCCUAGGUGUCGGUUCAAUCAUCCACGUGACCGGGGCGGGGUUAUGGGAGCUGCAAGAGCCGGUGCAGGAGAGUAUCCAGAGCGAGUGGACGAGCCCUUGUGUAAGUACUAUAUGAGGACUGGAACAUGUAAAUUUGGUCCAUCGUGUAAAUACCACCAUCCUAGACAAGGAGCUGGUUCUGUCACUCAUGUGACCCUAAAUUAUCAUGGUUACCCAUUACGUCCGGAUGAAAAAGAGUGUUCGUAUUAUAUGAAAACUGGGCAGUGUAAGUUUGGUACAACAUGUAAAUUCCAUCAUCCACAGCCAGCUUCUCAAGUUACACCUGUGCCUACUCCAGUACCUCCACCCACUGUAUAUCCACCUGUGCAAUCGCCAUCUGUUCCUUCAGCUCAACAGUAUCCCUUUGUAGUUGCAAGGCCUCCUCUGUUGCCAAGCCCAUAUGGGCAAGGCCCUUAUGGAGGCCCUUAUGGUACUGUGCUGGUUUCCCCAGGCAUGGUUCCCUAUCAAAGUUGGAGUCCUUACCCGACACCCAUGAACCCAGUUGCCCCUCCUGGCACUCAACCCACUCCUGCAUCAAGCUCAAUUUAUGGGAUGACCCCUCUCUCUGCUUCAGCACCUGCCUAUACUGGAGCUUAUCGAACAAUACCUUCUACAGUUGGUCCUUCAAGCAGUAGCCAGAAGGAGCACUCAUUUCCAGAGAGACCUGGGCAACCAGACUGUCAAUAUUACAAGAAAACUGGGGAGUGUAAAUUUGGAUCCUCAUGUAAAUAUCAUCAUCCUCGAGAAAUGACUGUAUCAAAAACUGAUGUCAACCUCAGCCCCGUGGGUCUUCCUUUACGUCCAGGUGCCCCUCCUUGCACUCAUUAUACGCAACGUGGAGUAUGCAAGUUUGGGCGUGAUUGCAAAUUUGAUCAUCCAAUGGGAGCACUAAGCUACAGCCCAUCUGCAUCUUCUCUAGCUGACAUGCCGGUCGCACCCUACCCUGUGGGCUCUUCAAUUGGUACCUUAGCCCCGUCAUUCUCGUCAUCAGACUUGCGGCCAGAACUUGUUUCAGGAUCCAGCAAGGAGCCUGUUUCAACAAGAAUGUCUUCAACAAUUAGCUCAACUAGUGGACCAGUGGGUUCAAUAUUUUCAAAGAGUGGACCCAUUCCUCAUUCAACCUCACAACAAUCUGGGCAGAGUUCUGGCUCUUCAACUGCUGGCAGCAGCAGCAGCACUGAGACUUAAACAUCAAACUAAGCAAGAAGAAAGGCUCUUCUUCAUUCCUCUUUUUGAUCAAAAUCAUGAACCAAAUCUUAUUUUUUCUGUAAGUUGUUAAAAUAGGAGGCUUCAUUUCUCUGUUAUGGUUUCACAACUCAGGUCUAGCCCCCAUCAGCUCUGAUUAUCUCUGUGUUCAUAUAAUCUCUUAUAUGGCCGGCCCUUUUUAUCUUGAAUAAGCCAUGGCCAAACCUCAGAGCUUAAGCAAAACCCAAUAGCCUUUACACCUUGCUUUUGAAUAACCACGGAAGAAUCUUCUGUUCCAUUAGGGAAGUCUGUGUUUUCCCCUCCGAUUUUUGGAGUUAUGUUUAUUUAUGCUCCAACCUUUUUCGGAACGCAAAAGAUCCGACCCACAGCAUUUUUCCUUUACAUCGAUCAGUGUGUUCAUGCUAUCUUUUUUAGAUUUCUUCUUAAGUUCAGGAACAAGCUUCCAAUUCAUCAUAGAAAGGAAUUUGAAGGUAUCAAAAGGAUUAAAGAGACUCAAAAGGAAGCAUCACCAUGCUACCUUAUAUGGGAUUUAGAUAAUGCAAGACAUGGCAAUAAAUUUAUUAUCCUAUACAAAUAUAUGGAAAAUCACUCUUGACUCUUAAUGAUAAAUUUCAAUUUCAAUUCUUGUAAUGGAAAGAUAGUUGGAGGGUGAAGUUGCCAUUGACAGAGAGAAGAAAAGAUACAAGUACAGGGACAACAAGGUUUUAUUUCGCUGAAAUGCCAAAUUAAUAUCAAUAGUUACGCAUCUGUUUCUGUGAAUUUAUUGAAAGAGACUCUGCAAGUGUUCAUAGUGGGCCACAACGCUCAGUUAGUAUCAUUGUAUGUUCUUAAGCAACAAUUCAUAAUCUAUUUUAUUUGCUGUUUCAGGUACUUUUGUUGAA